UCUCUUUCUCAGGGCGGGGUGGAAGUCCCCACCGGCGGUAAUCCGUCCACGGACGGAAAGCCCGCGAGCGCUCCCGUAAUUUCGGGAGGUCAGCAGAUCCGGUGCGAAACCGGAGCCGACGGUCACAGUCCGGAUGGAAGAGAAAACGG
rnacentral:ncRNA from 2 species